rnacentral:rRNA from 1 species
UCAACGGUAUAAGAUGAGUUCGCGUCUGAUUAGCUAGUUGGUGAGGUAAUGGCUCACCAAGGCGACGAUCAGUAGCCGGCCUGAGAGGGUGAACGGCCACACUGGAACUGAGACACGGUCCAGACUCCUACGGGAGGCAGCAGUGGGGAAUAUUGCACAAUGGGCGAAAGCCUGAUGCAGCGACGCCGCGUGAGUGAAGAAGGUCUUCGGAUCGUAAAACUCUGUCCUUGGUGAAGAAAAAAAUGACGGUAGCCAAGGAGGAAGCCCCGGCUAACUACGUGCCAGCAGCCGCGGUAAUACGUAGGGGGCGAGCGUUGUCCGGAUUUACUGGGCGUAAAGGGUGAGUAGGCGGCCUGUUAAGUCUGGAGUGAAAGUCCCGCUUUUAAGGUGGGAAUUGCUUUGGAAACUGGCGGGCUGGAGUGCAGGAGAGGUAAGUGGAAUUCCUAGUGUAGCGGUGAAAUGCGUAGAUAUUAGGAGGAACACCAGUGGCGAAGGCGACUUACUGGACUGUAACUGACGCUGAGUCACGAAAGCGUGGGUAGCAAACAGGAUUAGAUACCCUGGUAGUCCACGCUGUAAACGAUGAGUGCUAGGUGUUGGGGGUAUCGACCCCCUCGGUGCCACAGCUAACGCAAUAAGCACUCCGCCUGGGGAGUACGGUCGCAAGACUGAAACUCAAAGGAAUUGACGGGGACCCGCACAAGCAGCGGAGCAUGUGGUUUAAUUCGAAGCAACGCGAAGAACCUUACCAGGUCUUGACAUCCAGGUAAAGCGGUAGAGAUACAGUGUGCCUUCGGGCAAACUGAGACAGGUGGUGCAUGGUUGUCGUCAGCUCGUGUCGUGAGAUGUUGGGUUAAGUCCCGCAACGAGCGCAACCCUUAUUUUUAGUUACUAACGUGUAAAGGCGAGGACUCUAAAGAGACUGCCGGGGACAACUCGGAGGAAGGUGGGGACGACGUCAAAUCAUCAUGCCCCUUAUGACCUGGGCUACACACGUGCUACAAUGGCUACUACAAAGAGGAGCGAACCCGCAAGGGGGAGCGGAUCUGAGAAAAGUAGUCCCAGUUCGGAUCGUGGGCUGCAACCCGCCCACGUGAAGUCGGAGUUGCUAGUAAUCGCGGAUCAACAUGCCGCGGUGAAUACGUUCCC